AUUGAACGCUGGCGGCAUGCUUUACACAUGCAAGUCGAACGGUAACAGGCCGCAAGGUGCUGACGAGUGGCGAACGGGUGAGUAAUGCAUCGGAACGUGCCCAGUCGUGGGGGAUAACGCAGCGAAAGCUGCGCUAAUACCGCAUACGAUCUAUGGAUGAAAGCGGGGGACCGUAAGGCCUCGCGCGAUUGGAGCGGCCGAUGUCAGAUUAGGUAGUUGGUGGGGUAAAGGCUCACCAAGCCAACGAUCUGUAGCUGGUCUGAGAGGACGACCAGCCACACUGUGACUGAGACACGGCCCAGACUCCUACGGGAGGCAGCAGUGCGGAAUUUUGGACAAUGGGCGCAAGCCUGAUCCAGCAAUGCCGCGUGCAGGAAGAAGGCCUUCGGGUUGUAAACUGCUUUUGUACGGAACGAAACGGUCCUGGUUAAUACCUGGGGCUAAUGACGGUGCCGUAAGAAUAAGCACCGGCUAACUACGUGCCAGCCGCCGCCGCAGUAA
rnacentral:rRNA from 1 species